UACGAAGGGUGCAAGCGUUAAUCGGAAUUACUGGGCGUAAAGCGUGCGCAGGCGGCUAUGCAAGACAGAUGUGAAAUCCCCGGGCUCAACCUGGGAACUGCAUUUGUGACUGCAUGGCUAGAGUACGGUAGAGGGGGAUGGAAUUCCGCGUGUAGCAGUGAAAUGCGUAGAUAUGCGGAGGAACACCGAUGGCGAAGGCAAUCCCCUGGACCUGUACUGACGCUCAUGCACGAAAGCGUGGGGAGCAAACAGG
rnacentral:rRNA from 1 species